CCUGUACUGUGGCCAGCAGCAGCAGGAGGCAAUGAGGGGCAGGCGGGCAGACGCUGCCACUGUCAGGACCCUUGUGAGACCCAGCACUUCCCACGCUCAGCAGCCUCCUUGAGACACGUCUGUGUGUGCAAGAGGUCAACAAGGGGAAUGGCCUAAACAUUUCUCAGCAAGGAGACCUGCACCCGCUGUCCCACACGGGAGCCACUGACCACCGGCGGCUAUUUCAUGAAAAUUUCAAUGCAACAAAAUUCAACACUCAGUUCUUCGGUGGCAACAGCCACGUGUCAAGUACUCCACAGCCACAUGUGACACGUGGCUACAGCUCAUCCCCCCAGAAAGUCCAUAUGAAAAUGGAGAGGGUAAGAAGACAUGGCUGCGUGAACAGGCAGGCUGCAGAGUGAAAAUCGCAAUGCUUCAUGUAUACGUCAAAGAAGAACAAAGCAACUGUUUCCCCAGGUAACUACAAAUGCCUGAAAUUACACAGGGAAAAGUCUGGAAGGAAAACACCAAAAUAUCCAGUUGAAUAGAGUGGCUAUUCUCCAGUGAGACCCAAACUGGUGGUGCCAAUGAUCAGCGAACUUCCUCUCGGCUCCCGACAUCCUCCUCGAUACGCACUCUGCCACAACGGGCAGGGUCCCUUUCAGCGUCUCAUCCACAGUGAACGGGAGUUGAGGCUUUCUUAGCGGAGGGGCUGGAGGGACACAGCAGGAGGGCAGGAGGGCAGGUGGAGGGACACGGCAGGAGGGCAGGUGGAGGGACAUGGCAGGAGGGCAGGUGGAGGGACA
rnacentral:lncRNA from 10 species